rnacentral:rRNA from 1 species
UCGAGAGGCUUCGGCAAUGGGGGAAACCCUGACCGAGCGACGCCGCGUGCAGGAUGAAGGCCCUUGGGUUGUAAACUGCUUUUAUCGGGGAAGAAAUGUGAUCAGGUGAAUAAUCUGGUCGCUUGACGGUACCCGAUGAAUAAGCUCCGGCUAACUCCGUGCCAGCAGCCGCGGUAACACGGGGGGAGCAAGCGUUGUUCGGAAUCACUGGGCGUAAAGGGCGUGUAGGCGGUCAAGUAAGUGGAAUGUGAAAGCCCCCGGCUUACCCGGGGAUCUGCAUCCCAAACUGCUUGGCUUGAGUACGGGAGAGGAUAGGGGAAUUCCUGGUGUAGCGGUGAAAUGCGUAGAUAUCAGGAGGAACACCGGUGGCGAAGGCGCCUAUCUGGCCCGAUACUGACGCUGAGGCGCGAAAGCUAGGGGAGCAAACGG